UACGUAGGGAGCAAGCGUUGUCCGGAAUCAUUGGGCGUAAAGCGCGCGUAGGUGGCCUUGUAAGUCCGCUGUGAAAGUCAAAGGCUCAACCUUUGAAAGCCGGUGGAUACUGCGGGGCUAGAGUACGGAAGAGGCGAGUGGAAUUCCUGGUGUAGCGGUGGAAUGCGCAGAUAUCAGGAGGAACACCAAUAGCGAAGGCAGCUCGCUGGGACGUUACUGACACUGAGGCGCGAAAGCGUGGGGAGCGAACAGG
rnacentral:rRNA from 1 species